AACGAACGCUGGCGGCAGGCUUAACACAUGCAAGUCGAACGCCCCGCGAGGGGUGUGGCCGACGGGUGGGUAACGCGUGGGAACAUACCCUUUCCUGCGUAAUAGCUCCUGGAGACUGGCAUUAAUACCGCAUACGUCCUACGGCGGAAAGAUUUAUCGGGGAAGGAUUGGCCCGCGUUGGAUUAGCUUGUCGGUGGGGUAAAGGCCUACUAAGGCGACGAUCCAUAGCUGGUCAGAGAGGAAGAGCAGACACAUUGGGACGGAGACACGGCCCGAAAUACUACGGGAGGGAGCAGUGGGGGAUAUAGGAAAAUCGGGGCAGGGAUGAAGGAGCCAGGAUGGGUGAGUGAUGAAGGUCUGGGGGUUGUAAAGCAAGUUAAUCGAUGAAGAUAAUGACGGUAGUAGGAGAAGAAGCCCCGGCUAACUUCGUG
rnacentral:rRNA from 1 species